CACACGGUCUGUCACUGUGUAUAAUCAAACUCGAAUUUCCACCCAGAGAGUUAGCUCUCUUCUUAGUACAGGAACCAGAUGAAUGUGUCUUCUGUUUUGUCUAACCAUGCUACCACCUUUUAUUUGCACCUUGGAAGAUCCUGGCUCAGGCAUUUCCUGUACUGCAGCACCUGUUGUGUCACGCUUUCUGUGUCCCUCUAACGUUCAGCGGACAGUUUGAUCUAUUUGAAUGACAGGAAGUAUGUUGAGCUGGUGAGCUGUGACCCAAGAUGGUUCCAAGGAGGAGAAUAUUCUCUUUGUCAGGAUGAAUGACAACUCAACAUUACUGGAAAAAACAAAGAGAUACCCCAGUCAUGAAAUGUUUCCGGAAAUAUUUUCCAUUUAGCAGAUGAUGUCAAUACAAGAUUAAAAUAUAAGACACAUUUGUAAAUAGUAUUAUACUGUUACUGAUUAUGUGCUCCUAUUGAUAGUUCUUUUUUAAGUUCAGAGUUAUUUGGAGAUCCUGAGGCUGUCUUCCAUUUUUUGUGCAUUUUAUAAUA